CCUACGGGAGGCAGCAGUGAGGAAUAUUGGUCAAUGGGCUUACGCCUGAACCAGCCAAGUCGCGUGAGGGAAGACUGCCCUAUGGGUUGUAAACCUCUUUUGUCAGGGAGCAACGUCGGCUACGCGUAGCCGGACUGAGAGUACCUGAAGAAAAAGCAUCGGCUAACUCCGUGCCAGCAGCCGCGGUAAUCAGGAGGAUGCGAGGGUUAUCCGGAUUUAUUGGGUUAAAAGGGUGCGUAGGCGGAAUGCCAAGUCAGCGGUAAAAUCGCGGGGCUCAACCUCGCUCCGCCGUUGAAACUGGCGUUCUUGAGAGGGCGAGAAGUAUGCGGAAUGCGUGGUGUAGCGGUGAAAUGCAUAGAUAUCACACAGAACUCCGAUUGCGAAGGCAGCAUACCGGCGCCCAACUGACGCUGAAGCACGAAAGCGUGGGUAGCGAACAGGAUUAGAUACCCGGGUAGUC
rnacentral:rRNA from 1 species